rnacentral:pre_miRNA from 1 species
AAUGGCGAUCGCGCGGACUCACUCAACCUGGGUGUGAUGCUUGCCUACGUAUCAGGCCCUAGUGGUCAUCACAACCUUUUUGAGUGAGCGAACGAGGUCGUGCCCGUCGGC